UGUAACAAUGUCUGUGGUUGCAUAAAGGCAAGGAUAAUAGAUCGUCACCAAAAUUUGCACAAUAAGAAUACAUAUUUCUAUUCCACAUUUUAAAGGCUCGAUAUGAUGUCAGAAUAGGUAUAGAGGAAACAAGAAAUACAUAACAUAAAGAAUGUGAGGUGUGUUGAAACACACUCUUAAACGAAUGAAUGACUGGCAUUGUAAUUGAGAGAAACACUCGUCUCAAAUUAUAAUAGACUUUUUACCAAUUUUUGAAGCAACAUUCUUAUUUAAAGAAUAUAAUAGUUAAUAGUGGAGCAGAAAAGGAGUGCCAUUCUAGAGACGGAAAUAGCUAAGUAAACCAAGAAUGUUUUGCAGCGGCCUGUUGCUGAGUUCAACCAUUAUACUUUGAAACAUCCUUUCUAGUGCAAAAUGCUGGAGCAGGAAAAAGCUUGCUGUCACUUGGUGAAUAAAUAAAAAAUAUAUUUCUCGAGCUACUGAAGCACUCUAGUUUUAAGUGAUUUAUACUCUGUUCAAAGUAGUACAUGUAUAUUCUUCUAUUUCUGGCAAAUUACCCGUUCAAUAUAUGCAUAUGCGGUCACUUCUUCCAUUGAGGCAACCUCUGCACCACUACCUGUACAUAUCAUCGAACUACCAUUGUAUGAGCGAGCGCUAAAAUUGCAGACAGACAGUUGUUCAUUUUUAGUUGUUUACCCACAUGUUUAGGACCUUGAGAUGAUAAUAACGUCUGACUUGAAUUUGUUGGGAAUAAAACCCCUACCAAAAUAAUAUUCACGGUAAUAAAAGCGGAAUAAUAAUGUA
rnacentral:lncRNA from 1 species